rnacentral:rRNA from 1 species
UGGGGAAUUUUGGACAAUGGGCGAAAGCCUGAUCCAGCAAUGCCGCGUGUGUGAAGAAGGCCUUCGGGUUGUAAAGCACUUUUGUCCGGAAAGAAAUCCUUGGCUCUAAUACAGUCGGGGGAUGACGGUACCGGAAGAAUAAGCACCGGCUAACUACGUGCCAGCAGCCGCGGUAAUACGUAGGGUGCAAGCGUUAAUCGGAAUUACUGGGCGUAAAGCGUGCGCAGGCGGUUUGCUAAGACCGAUGUGAAAUCCCCGGGCUCAACCUGGGAACUGCAUUGGUGACUGGCAGGCUAGAGUAUGGCAGAGGGGGGUAGAAUUCCACGUGUAGCAGUGAAAUGCGUAGAGAUGUGGAGGAAUACCGAUGGCGAAGGCAGCCCCCUGGGCCAAUACUGACGCUCAUGCACGAAAGCGUGGGGAGCAAACAGGAUUAGAUACCCUGGUAGUCCACGCCCUAAACGAUGUCAACUGUUGUUGGGGAUUCAUUUCCUUAGUAACGUAGCUAACGCGUGAAGUUGACCG